rnacentral:rRNA from 1 species
GAUGAACGCUGGCGGCGUGCCUAAUACAUGCAAGUCGAGCGAACAGACGAGGAGCUUGCUCCUUUGACGUUAGCGGCGGACGGGCGAGUAACACGUGGAUAACCUACUUAUAAUACUGGGAUAACUUCGGGAAACCGGUGCCAAUACCGGAUAAUAUAUUGAACCGCAUGGUGCAAUAGAUAAAGACGGCUUUGCUGUCACUAUUAGAUGGAUCCGCGCCGGAUUAGCGAGUUGGUAAGGUAACGGCUUACCAAGGCGACGAUGCGUAGCCGACCUGAGAGGGUGAUCAGCCACACUGGAACUGAGACACGGUCCAGACUCCUACGGGAGGCAGCAGUAGGGAAUAUUCCGCAAUGGGCGAAAGCCUGACGGAGCAACGCCGCGUGAGUGAUGAAGGUCUUCGGAUCGUAAAACUCUGUUAUUAGGGAAGAACAAAUGUGUAAGUAACUCUGCACGUCUUGACGGUACCUAAUCAGAAAGCCACGGCUAACUACGUG